rnacentral:rRNA from 1 species
UGGUGGAGCGAUUUGUCUGGUUAAUUCCGAUAACGAACGAGACUCUGGCCUAUUAAAUAGUUCGCCGAUUCCGAUCUGUCGGCGUUAACUUCUUAGAGGGACAGGUGGCUUUUAGCCACGCGAGAUUGAGCAAUAACA